rnacentral:rRNA from 1 species
UGGGGAAUAUUGGACAAUGGGGGCAACCCUGAUCCAGCCAUGCCGCGUGAGUGAUGACGGCCUUAGGGUUGUAAAGCUCUUUCGCUAGGGAAGAUAAUGACGGUACCUAGUAAAGAAGCCCCGGCUAACUUCGUGCCAGCAGCCGCGGUAAUACGAAGGGGGCUAGCGUUGUUCGGAAUUACUGGGCGUAAAGCGCGCGUAGGCGGGCUAUUAAGUCAGGGGUGAAAUCCCGGGGCUCAACCUCGGAAUUGCCUCUGAUACUGGUAGUCUAGAGUCCGAGAGAGGUGAGUGGAACUCCGAGUGUAGAGGUGAAAUUCGUAGAUAUUGGGAAGAACACCGGUGGCGAAGGCGGCCAUCUGGACCGGAUCUGACGCUGAGGCGCGAAAGCGUGGGGAGCAAACAGGAUUAGAUACCCCCGUAGUCC